rnacentral:tRNA from 1 species
GCCUCUAUAGCUCAGUGGAUGAGAGCGUCGCGCUACGAACGCGAAGGCCCCAGGUUCGAGUCCUGGUGGGGGCG